GACGAACGCUGGCGGCGUGCUUAACACAUGCAAGUCGAACGGAGUGGCGAACGGGUGAGUAACACGUGGGUGAUCUGCCUUGCACUUCGGGAUAAGCUUGGGAAACUGGGUCUAAUACCGGAUAGUGCAAGAUGAGCUCGGGGCCUAUCAGCGUGUUGGUGGGGUAAUGGCCUACCAAGGCGUCGACGGGUAGCCGGCCUGAGAGGGUGUACGGCCACAAUGGGACUGAGGGACGGCCCAGAGUCGUACGGGAGGCAGCAGGGGGGAGUAUGGCGCAAUGGGCGGAAGCCUGAGGCAGAGACGCCGGGUGGGGGAUGAAGGCCUUCGGGGUGUAAACGCCUUUCGACAGGGACGCGGUACCUGUAUAAGAAGCACCGGCUAACUACGUGCCAGCAGCCGCGGUAAUAC
rnacentral:rRNA from 1 species